CACUCCUGCGGGAGGCAGCAGUGGGGAAUAUUGGACAAUGGGCGCAAGCCUGAUCCAGCCAUGCCGCGUGAGUGAUGAAGGCCCUAGGGUUGUAAAGCUCUUUCACCGGAGAAGAUAAUGACGGUAUCCGGAGAAGAAGCCCCGGCUAACUUCGUGCCAGCAGCCGCGGUAAUACGAAGGGGGCUAGCGUUGUUCGGAAUUACUGGGCGUAAAGCGCACGUAGGCGGAUCGAUCAGUCAGGGGUGAAAUCCCAGGGCUCAACCCUGGAACUGCCUUUGAUACUGUCGAUCUGGAGUAUGGAAGAGGUGAGUGGAAUUCCGAGUGUAGAGGUGAAAUUCGUAGAUAUUCGGAGGAACACCAGUGGCGAAGGCGGCUCACUGGUCCAUUACUGACGCUGAGGUGCGAAAGCGUGGGGAGCAAACAGGAUUAGAAACCCCGGUAGUCCCAUGA
rnacentral:rRNA from 1 species